rnacentral:rRNA from 1 species
CCUACGGGGGGCAGCAGUGAGGAAUAUUGGUCAAUGGGCGAGAGCCUGAACCAGCCAAGUCGCGUGAGGGAUGACGGUCCUAUGGAUUGUAAACCUCUUUUGUCGGGGAACAAAGGCGUCCACGUGUGGACUGAUGAGUGUACCCGAAGAAAAAGCAUCGGCUAACUCCGUGCCAGCAGCCGCGGUAAUACGGAGGAUGCGAGCGUUAUCCGGAUUUAUUGGGUUUAAAGGGAGCGUAGGUGGAUUGUUAAGUCAGUUGUGAAAGUUUGCGGCUCAACCGUAAAAUUGCAGUUGAAACUGGCAGUCUUGAGUACAGUUGAGGUAGGCGGAAUUCGUGGUGUAGCGGUGAAAUGCUUAGAUAUCACGAAGAACUCCGAUUGCGAAGGCAGCUUACUAAACUGCCACUGACAUUGAUGCUCGAAAGUGUGGGUAUCAAACAGGAUUAGAUACCCUUGUAGUC